GGGGGAGGAAGGUCUGUGGAUUGUAAACCCCUUUUGUCGAGGAAGAACACAAUGACGGUACUUGACGAAUCAGCAUCGGCUAACUCCGUGCCAGCAGCCGCGGUAAUACGGAGGAUGCAAGCGUUAUCCGGAUUUAUUGGGCGUAAAGCGUCCGCAGGUGGUUAUUCAAGUCUGCUGUCAAAGCGCGAGGCUUAACUUCGUAAAGGCAGUGGAAACUGAAUGACUUGAGAAUGAUAGGGGCAGAGGGAAUUCCCAGUGUAGCGGUGAAAUGCGUAGAGAUUGGGAAGAACACCGGUGGCGAAAGCGCUCUGCUGGGUCAUAUC
rnacentral:rRNA from 1 species